rnacentral:rRNA from 1 species
ACGAACGCUGGCGGCGUGCUUAACACAUGCAAGUCGAACGAAGAGCGAUGGAAGCUUGCUUCUAUCAAUCUUAGUGGCGAACGGGUGAGUAACGCGUAAUCAACCUGCCCUUCAGAGGGGGACAACAGUUGGAAACGACUGCUAAUACCGCAUACGAUCUGACCUCGGCAUCGAGGAUAGAUGAAAGGUGGCCUCUACAUGUAAGCUAUCACUGAAGGAGGGGAUUGCGUCUGAUUAGCUAGUUGGAGGGGUAACGGCCCACCAAGGCGAUGAUCAGUAGCCGGUCUGAGAGGAUGAACGGCCACAUUGGGACUGAGACACGGCCCAGACGCCUACGGGAGGCAGCAGUGGGGAAUCUUCCGCAAUGGACGAAAGUCUGACGGAGCAACGCCGCGUGAGUGAUGACGGCCUUCGGGUUGUAAAGCUCUGUUAAUCGGGACGAAAGGCCUUUUUGCGAAUAGUGAGAAGGAUUGACGGUACCGGAAUAGAAAGCCACGGCUAACUACGUG